AACGAACGCUGGCGGCAGGCUUAACACAUGCAAGUCGAACGCCCCGCAAGGGGAGUGGCAGACGGGUGAGUAACGCGUGGGAAUCUACCUAGUUCUACGGAACAACACAGGGAAACUUGUGCUAAUACCGUAUACGCCCUACGGGGGAAAGAUUUAUCGGAAUUAGAUGAGCCCGCGUAAGAUUAGCUAGUUGGUGAGGUAAUGGCUCACCAAGGCGACGAUCUUUAGCUGGUCUGAGAGGAUGAUCAGCCACACCGGGACUGAGACACGGCCCAGACUCCUACGGGAGGCAGCAGUGGGGAAUAUUGGACAAUGGGCGAAAGCCUGAUCCAGCCAUGCCGCGUGAGUGAUGAAGGCCUUAGGGUUGUAAAGCUCUUUCAGUAGGGAAGAUAAUGACGGUACCUACAGAAGAAGCCCCGGCUAACUUCGUGCCAGCAGCCGCGGUAAGAC
rnacentral:rRNA from 1 species